rnacentral:rRNA from 1 species
GACGAACGCUGGCGGCGUGCUUAACACAUGCAAGUCGAACGGAAAGGCCCUGCUUUUGUGGGGUGCUCGAGUGGCGAACGGGUGAGUAACACGUGAGUAACCUGCCCUUGACUUUGGGAUAACUUCAGGAAACUGGGGCUAAUACCGGAUAGGAGCUCCUGCUGCAUGGUGGGGGUUGGAAAGUUUCGGCGGUUGGGGUUGGACUCGCGGCUUAUCAGCUUGUUGGUGGGGUAGUGGCUUACCAAGGCUUUGACGGGUAGCCGGCCUGAGAGGGUGACCGGCCACAUUGGCACUGAGAUCCGGCCCAGACUCCUACGGGAGGCAGCAGUGGGGAAUAUUGCACCAUGGGCGGAAGCCUGAUGCAGCAACGCCGCGUGCGGGAUGACGGCCUUCGGGUUGUAAACCGCUUUCGCCUGUGACGAAGCGUGAGUGACGGUAAUGGGUAAAGAAGCACCGGCUAACUACGUG